CCUACGGGAGGCAGCAGUGGGGGAUAUUGCACAAUGGGGGAAACCCUGAUGCAGCGACGCCGCGUGGGUGAAGAAGCGCCUCGGCGCGUAAAGCCCUGUCAGCAGGGAAGAAAAUGACGGUACCUGAAGAAGAAGCCCCGGCUAACUACGUGCCAGCAGCCGCGGUAAUACGUAGGGGGCAAGCGUUAUCCGGAUUUACUGGGUGUAAAGGGGGCGCAGACGGCGAUGCAAGCCAGGAGUGAAAGCCCGGGGCCCAACCCCGGGACUGCUCUUGGAACUGGGUGGCUAGAGUGCAGGAGGGGCAGGCGGAAUGCCUGGUGUAGCGGUGAAAUGCGUAGAUAUCAGGAGGAACACCGGUGGCGAAGGCGGCCUGCUGGACUGCAACUGACGUUGAGGCACGAAAGCGUGGGGAGCAAACAGGAGUAGAUACCCCAGUAGUC
rnacentral:rRNA from 1 species